rnacentral:sRNA from 1 species
GCCGGGCACACGGGUGCAUGCCUAUAAUCCCAGCAACUCAGGAGGCUGAGAUAGGAGGAUCAUGAAUUCAAAGCCAGCCUCAGCAAUAUGGAGGUGCUAAGCAACUUAGUGAGACCCUGUCUCUA